GGGGGCGUUUUCUUCCCGUGUCUUAUUUUUAGCACGUGUCACAUCGAAUGUUUAGAUACUAAUUAGGAGUAGUAAACGUAGACUAUUUACAAAACCAAUUACAUAAGUGGAAUCUAAAUGGCGAGACGAAUCUAUUAAGACUAAUUAAGCCUAAUUAAUCCAUCAUUAGCAAAUAUUUACUGUAGCAACACAUUGUCAAAUCAUGGACUAAUUAGGCUUAAUAGAUUCGUCUCGCCGUUUAGAUUCGUCUUAUGUAAUGGGUUUUGUAAAUAGUCUACGUUUAAUACUCCUAAUUGGUAUCUAAACAUUCGAUGUGACGGCUGCUAAAGUUUAGCAAGUGGAAGAAAACAGGCCCUUA
rnacentral:lncRNA from 1 species